AACGAACGCUGGCGGCAUGCCUAACACAUGCAAGUCGAACGAACCCUUCGGGGUUAGUGGCGCACGGGUGCGUAACGCGUGGGAAUCUGCCCUUUGCUUCGGAAUAACUCAGGGAAACUUGUGCUAAUACCGGAUGAUGUCUUCGGACCAAAGAUUUAUCGGCAAGGGAUGAGCCCGCGUAGGAUUAGGUAGUUGGUGGGGUAAAGGCCUACCAAGCCGACGAUCCUUAGCUGGCCUGAGAGGAUGAUCAGCCACACUGGGACUGAGACACGGCCCAGACUCCUACGGGAGGCAGCAGUGGGGAAUAUUGGACAAUGGGCGCAAGCCUGAUCCAGCAAUGCCGCGUGAGUGAUGAAGGCCCUCGGGUCGUAAAGCUCUUUUACCAGGGAUGAUAAUGACAGUACCUGGAGAAUAAGCUCCGGCUAACUCCGUG
rnacentral:rRNA from 1 species